CGCACCCCUGGCGGCGUGCCUAAUACAUGCAAGUCGAGCGGACCGACGGGAGCUUGCUCCCUUAGGUCAGCGGCGGACGGGUGAGUAACACGUGGGUAACCUGCCUGUAAGACUGGGAUAACUCCGGGAAACCGGGGCUAAUACCGGAUGCUUGAUUGAACCGCAUGGUUCAAUCAUAAAAGGUGGCUUUUAGCUACCACUUACAGAUGGACCCGCGGCGCAUUAGCUAGUUGGUGAGGUAACGGCUCACCAAGGCGACGAUGCGUAGCCGACCUGAGAGGGUGAUCGGCCACACUGGGACUGAGACACGGCCCAGACUCCUACGGGAGGCAGCAGUAGGGAAUCUUCCGCAAUGGACGAAAGUCUGACGGAGCAACGCCGCGUGAGUGAUGAAGGUUUUCGGAUCGUAAAACUCUGUUGUUAGGGAAGAACAAGUACCGUUCGAAUAGGGCGGCACCUUGACGGUACCUAACCAGAAAGCCACGGCUAACUACGUGCCAGCCGCCGCGUUAAUACA
rnacentral:rRNA from 1 species